rnacentral:rRNA from 1 species
CAUGGGCGCAGCUGACGUUCGAGCCGGUGCGGGAUGAAGGCCUUCGGGUUGUAAACCGCUGUCGUAGGGGAGGAAGUGCAGGAGGGUCUCCCUCCUGUUUGACCUAUCCUAGGAGGAAGUACGGGCUAAGUUCGUGCCAGCAGCCGCGGUAAGACGAACCGUACAAACGUUACUCGGAAUUACUGGGCUUAAAGGGUGCGUAGGCUGCGCGGAAAGUCGGGUGUGAAAGCCCUCAGCUCAACUGGGGAAUUGCACUCGAAACUACCGUGCUCGAGGGAGACAGAGGUAAGCGGAACUCAAGGUGGAGCGGUGAAAUGCGUUGAUAUCUUGAGGAACACCGGUGGCGAAGGCGGCUUACUGGGUCUCUUCUGACGCUGAGGCACGAAAGCCAAGGUAGCAAACGGGAUUAGAUACCCCGGUAGUCUUGGCUGUAAACGAUGAGCACUUGUUUGAAGGGUCCUCCAUAGCCUUUCAGACGUAGCGAAAGUGUUAAGUGCUCCGCCUGGGGAGUAUGGUCGCAAGGCUGAAACUCAAAGAAAUUGACGGGGGCUCACACAAGCGGUGGAGGAUGUGGCUUAAUUCGAGGCUACGCGAAGAACCUUAUCCUAGUCUUGACAUGCUUGGAUUAACCCCAUGAAAGUGGGGGCACGCCUUCGGGUGGAACAAGCACAGGUGCUGCAUGGCUGUCGUCAGCUCGUGUCGUGAGAU